CCUACGGGAGGCAGCAGUGGGGAAUAUUGCGCAAUGGGCGAAAGCCUGACGCAGCGACGCCGCGUGAGGGAUGAAGGUCUUCGGAUCGUAAACCUCUGUCAGCAGGGAAGAACGGUCACUGUGCUAAUCAGCAGUGAAUUGACGGUACCUGCAAAGGAAGCACCGGCUAACUCCGUGCCAUCAGCCGCGGUAAUACGGCGGGUGCCAACGUUAAGCGGAAUUACUGGGCGUGAAGCGCGCGUAGGCGGUAUGCCGAGUCCAGGGUGAAAUCCCCGGGCUCAACGGGGGGACUGCCUUGGAAACUGGAAGACGGGAGUGUGUGAGAGGAUAGUGGAAUUCCAGGUGUAGGAGUGAAAUCCGUAGA
rnacentral:rRNA from 1 species